AGUCGUGUGGUCUAAUGGUUAUGAUUUCUCGUUCACAAUCACGUGAGCACCAAAGUUCCGAGAAGGUUCCCGGUUCGAUCCCGGGCACGACUA